AAAACUUAGAUAACAACUGUGGAUUGAUCUUACAGUGUUUUCUUUCAGAACCAUUUCAUUUGAAUAAUGUUAGUGUCUGUGGACCCAAUUCAAAGAUUUGGGGGUGGGGGCGCCGGGCGCGUGCGCAAGGGACUGGGCAGUGGCUGCCGCGCCCCUCCCCCGCGCGGCACUCAGUGCAGGGCGGGAUGCGGCAGCCCGGGGCUUUGCAGCAGGGACUUCGGCAGCGCCUCAGGCACCCGGGCUCUAACACGAUGCGGCGAGUGGUGCGGCAGAGCAAGUUCCGGCACGUCUUUGGACAGGUGGUGAAGAAUGAUCAGUGCUUUGAUAACAUCCGCGUCUCCCGAGUCACCUGGGACAGUCCCUUUUGUGCCAUCAACCCCAGAUUCGUGGCCAUCAUCAUAGAAGCGAGUAGGGGAGGGGCCUUCCUGAUGCUCCCUCUGCACAAGACGGGACAAAAUGACAAAUCCUAUCCUACAGUGUGUGGCCACACAAGACCAGUGCUGGACAUAGACUGGUGUCCACAUAACGAUCAGGUCAUCGCCAGCAGCUCAGAGGCCUGCACUGUUAUGGUUUGGCAGAUCCCGGAAAAUGGACUGACCCUUUCCCUGACUGAUUCUAGAAGGAGGUCACUCAAAAAGAGUUGGCAUCGUGGCCUGGCACCCGACGGCUUGCAAUGUGCUUCUCAGUGCAGGCUGUGAUAAUGCCAUUAUCAUCUGGAACAUGGGGACAGGGGAAGCCUUAAUCAACUUGGACGAUAUACAUUCAGACAUGAUUUACAACAUGAGCUGGAGCCGUAACGGUAGUCUCAUCUGCACUGCAUCCAAAGACAAGAAAGUGAGAGUCAUUGACCCCAGGAAACAGGAGAUGGUGGCGGCGAAGGAGAAAGCACACGAAGGAGCUAGGCCUAUGCAUGCCAUCUUCCUGGUGGACAGCAAUGUCUUCACUACUGGCUUUAGCCGAAUGAGCAAGCGGCAGUUGGCGCUCUGGAACCCAAAAAACCAUGCAGGAACCAAUUGCUCUCCAUGAAAUGGACACUAGCAAUGGGGUGCUGCUCCCCUUCUACGACCCGGACACCAGCAUCAUCUACUUAUCUGGGAAGGGUGACAGCAGUAUCCGCGGAUGAAUCCCCAUAUGUCCACUUCAGCGGCAAGGAGCCUCAGUGAGGGAUGGGCUACAUGCCCAAGCCGGGCCUUGACGUCAACAAGUGUGAGAUUGCCAGAUUCUUCAAGCUUCAUGAGAGACAGUGGGAGCCCAUUAUCAUGACGGUCCCCAGGAAGUCUGACCUCUUCCAAGAUGACCUGUACCCUGACACAGCGGGGGGGGGGGGCCGGAAGCCGCCCUUGAGGCGGAGGAGUGGUUUGAGGGGGAAGAAUGCAGACCCCAUCCUCAUAUCGUUGAAGUAUGGGUACAUUCCAGAGAUCUCAAGGUGGUCAAGAAGAACAUUUUGGACAAGCCAGCUGUAAACAAGAAGAGCGAUCUCAUCUGUGCCCCCAAGAAGACCACAGACACGGCCAGUGUGCAAACCGAAGCCAAGUUGGAUGCGAUUCUGAAAGAGAUCAAAUCCAUAAAGGAAACAAACUGCAGUCAAGACGAGCGCAUUUCCAAGUUGGAGCAGCAGCUGGUGAAGAUGGCUGCCUGAGGCCCGACCACCUCCACGGAAGGUGGCUGCUCCUCCUCG